rnacentral:rRNA from 1 species
GACAGAGGGUGCAAACGUUGUUCGGAAUUACUGGGCGUAAAGAGCGUGUAGGCGGCCAGAUAGGUCAGCUGUGAAAACUCGAGGCUCAACCUCGAGAUGUCGGCUGAAACCAUCUGGCUAGAGUCCGGAAGAGGAGAAUGGAAUUCCCGGUGUAGCGGUGAAAUGCGCAGAUAUCGGGAAGAACACCAGUGGCGAAGGCGGCUGACUGGUCCGGUUCUGACGCUGAGGCGCGAAAGCGUGGGGAGCAAACAGG